UGUACGUACAAGCAGUGGGAGCACAGAGCAAUCUGUGUGACUGCGUACCUUUUGUAUAAUGGGUCAGCGACUUAUAUUCUGUAGCAAGGUUAACCGAAUAGGGGAGCCGAAGGGAAACCGAGUCUUAACUGGGCGUUAAGUUGCAGGGUAUAGACCCGAAACCCGGUGAUCUAGCCAUGGGCAGGUUGAAGGUUGGGUAACACUAACUGGAGGACCGAACCGACUAAUGUUGAAAAAUUAGCGGAUGACUUGUGGCUGGGGGUGAAAGGCCAAUCAAACCGGGAGAUAGCUGGUUCUCCCCGAAAGCUAUUUAGGUAGCGCCUCGUGAAUUCAUCUCCGGGGGUAGAGCACUGUUUCGGCAAGGGGGUCAUCCCGACUUACCAACCCGAUGCAAACUGCGAAUACCGGAGAAUGUUAUCACGGGAGACACACGGCGGGUGCUAACGUCCGUCGUGAAGAGGGAAACAACCCAGACCGCCAGCUAAGGUCCCAAAGUCAUGGUUAAGUGGGAAACGAUGUGGGAAGGCCCAGACAGCCAGGAUGUUGGCUUAGAAGCAGCCAUCAUUUAAAGAAAGCGUAAUAGCUCACUGGUCGAGUCGGCCUGCGCGGAAGAUGUAACGGGGCUAAACCAUGCACCGAAGCUGCGGCAGCGACGCUUAUGCGUUGUUGGGUAGGGGAGCGUUCUGUAAGCCUGUGAAGGUGUACUGUGAGGUAUGCUGGAGGUAUCAGAAGUGCGAAUGCUGACAUAAGUAACGAUAAAGCGGGUGAAAAGCCCGCUCGCCGGAAGACCAAGGGUUCCUGUCCAACGUUAAUCGGGGCAGGGUGAGUCGACCCCUAAGGCGAGGCCGAAAGGCGUAGUCGAUGGGAAACAGGUUAAUAUUCCUGUACUUGGUGUUACUGCGAAGGGGGGACGGAGAAGGCUAUGUUGGCCGGGCGACGGUUGUCCCGGUUUAAGCGUGUAGGCUGGUUUUCCAGGCAAAUCCGGAAAAUCAAGGCUGAGGCGUGAUGACGAGGCACUACGGUGCUGAAGCAACAAAUGCCCUGCUUCCAGGAAAAGCCUCUAAGCAUCAGGUAACAUCAAAUCGUACCCCAAACCGACACAGGUGGUCAGGUAGAGAAUACCAAGGCGCUUGAGAGAACUCGGGUGAAGGAACUAGGCAAAAUGGUGCCGUAACUUCGGGAGAAGG
rnacentral:rRNA from 1 species